rnacentral:rRNA from 1 species
UGGGGAAUAUUGCGCAAUGGGCGAAAGCCUGAUCCAGCAACGCCGCGUGCGGGACGAAGGCCCUCGGGUCGUAAACCGCUGUCAGGAGGGAGGAACGGUGCGUGGUUAAGAGCUGCGUACUUUGACAGUACCUCCAGAGGAAGCCCCGGCUAACUCCGUGCCAGCAGCCGCGGUAAUACGGAGGGGGCGAGCGUUAUUCGGAUUUAUUGGGCGUAAAGGGCGCGUAGGCGGCUUGAUAAGUCAAAGGUGAAAUCCCUCGGCUCAACCGGGGAACUGCCUUUGAAACUGUCUGGCUAGAGUUCGGGAGAGGGUAGGGGGAAUUCCUAGUGUAGCGGUGAAAUGCGUAGAUAUUAGGAGGAACACCAGUGGCGAAGGCGCCUACCUGGACCGAUACUGACGCUGAGGUGCG